AUCUCACCUUUGAACUCACCUGCAACCUGCAGGAGGCAGACUCAGAAAGGGUGGAGCACGCCUGAGGGCCAGCCGCAGUGUUUAUUAAUUAGGCAGAGUGCUUCUAAGCACUUUUGAUUAAACGCCAGUUUGUGUCAGGACGGUGGGGACAGCAAAAGGGGCUGGGACAUGCAUGCAGGGGGUUUAGAAUCCAGGAAAGAAAUAAGACUGUCAUCUGAGGAUUCUGGCACCAGACGGCUCAAAGCUCUGGAUGAGCAGCUGUGAGCUGAGGCCCGGUGUGGGCCUUGUAGCUGGGACAGGCACUGCAUCCUGGUGGUGGGAGCCCGAGUGGCCGCUCUGUGGGACCUGAGGGACAGAGGGUCCUUAGGGGCUGCUCCAGCAGUGGGUGAGGCCUGUUUCUACAAGUGGGCGUGGCCUGCUCUCGGCAGGAAGACUGGUCCUGAGCUAACAUCCGUGCACAUCUUCCUCUACUUUAUAUGUGGGAUGCCUACCACAGCAUGGCUUGACAAGCAGUGCCAUGCCCGCACCCGGGAUCUGAACUGGCGAACCCCAGGCCGCCAAAGCAGAACAUGCGAACUGAACUGCUGUGCCACUGGGCCGGCCCCUCAGUUUUAUAGUUUUAUAACAAAAAAUUUAGAACACCUAGAACACUUCAGAAAAUUGCGUAUGAGGCACAGCAUUUGCAGGCUAAAAUCUCCAGUACAAUGUUGAAGAGGAGAAGGGGCAGCAGCAACUCCACUGGAUCCAUCUUUCUAAUGUUUGGCUACAAUGACGCUCUUGACUCAAGGUCUUCAGUUAAUGCUUCGAGGAAAUCUGUCUAGGGAUUGAAUGUGCUCCUUGUGACAGCUGGCCACAGAGGCAGAAGAUUGGAAAGGAAAAGCCUAGAACAAACUGAGAGGCCUCAUGGAUGGGGGUGAAGCCCAGCGAGCAUGGUCCUGGGCGGGCUGGGCCCGUCGACCCGCCGUAACUGGGAAGGGCUGGGCCCCCGGGAGGCUGGUCUUGGAAGACUAGUGUCACCUGCUCCAGUUGGGGUUCCUGACUCGGUGACAUGGGCUCUGCUCUCCCCUUCUGCUUCUGAGGAACUGGGAGUGGAUGGAACGCUUUUCCAGUCAGUUCUCUCUGGAGAAGCAUCAUGCACGCCCUACACCAGCUCUCACGGGCUCCUUUUCCACAGAUACAGAUUCAACCCAGUGCUGGUUAUGUGAGGACUGUGAAAAUCAGGCUCCACACCCUCCUAGUAACAACUGCCUACCUCUAUGUUGUGAAAAUGCAUGAUUGCAGACAUUUGACUUGAUUUUGAGCAGAUUUCUUAAACUAAUGCAAAUAAAAUAUGUUUUUAGAAGAGAAAUAAUAAAUAGCACUUUCUUCUUUUGUUUGUAGUAAGGGCCUGCCCUGAAGGACAGCCGUAGCUGACCUUGGAAUGCAUUAGUCCUAAGGGGUAGGGACGUGUCUCUUUCCUUGCUGUUUUUGCCAGGGGGAAAGAGACACUUCAGGUGACGCUCUUCUCUGUUAUAACUUAGCUGAAGAUAAAGCCUUAAGUCUUUUCUC
ensembl:lncRNA